UAUUUAGUGACUGAAAAGCAAGUAAUGGUCUCUUAAACCAGUUAAUGGUAUAUGCAUCUACCCUAAAU
rnacentral:tRNA from 1 species